rnacentral:rRNA from 1 species
UACAGAGGGGGCAAGCGUUGUUCGGAAUUACUGGGCGUAAAGGGCGCGUAGGCGGCCUUCUAAGUCAGACGUGAAAUCCCCCGGCUUAACCUGGGAACUGCGUCUGAUACUGGAGGGCUUGAGUGCGGGAGAGGGAUGUGGAAUUCCAGGUGUAGCGGUGAAAUGCGUAGAUAUCAUGAGGAAUACCAGAGGCGAAGGCGGCUACCUGGACAAUUGCUGACGCUCAGGCACGAAAGCGUGGGGAGCAAAAGGG